ACUCCUACGGGAGGCAGCAGUGGGGAAUUUUGGACAAUGGGCGAAAGCCUGAUCCAGCAAUGCCGCGUGAGUGAAGAAGGCCUUCGGGUUGUAAAGCUCUUUUGUCAGGGAAGAAACGGUGAGAGCUAAUAUCUCUUGCUAAUGACGGUACCUGAAGAAUAAGCACCGGCUAACUACGUGCAAGCAGCCGCGGUAAUACGUAGGGUGCAAGCGUUAAUCGGAAUUACUGGGCGUAAAGCGUGCGCAGGCGGUUUUGUAAGUCUGAUGUGAAAUCCCCGGGCUCAACCUGGGAAUUGCAUUGGAGACUGCAAGGCUAGAAUCUGGCAGAGGGGGGUAGAAUUCCACGUGUAGCAGUGAAAUGCGUAGAUAUGUGGAGGAACACCGAUGGCGAAGGCAGCCCCCUGGGUCAAGAUUGACGCUCAUGCACGAAAGCGUGGGGAGCAAACAGGAUUAGAAACCCGUGUAGUCCCAUGAU
rnacentral:rRNA from 1 species